AUUGAACGCUGGCGGCAGGCCUAACACAUGCAAGUCGAGCGGAGCGGCGGACGGGUACGUAAUGCCUAGGAAUCUGCCUGGGAGUGGGGGAUAACGUCCGGAAACGGGCGCUAAUACCGCAUACUAUCAGAUUAGCCUAGGUCGGAUUGGCUAGUGGGUGGGGUAAAGGCCUACCAAGGCGACGACCCCUAGCUGGUCUGAGAGGAUGACCAGCCACACUGGAACUGAGACACGGGCCAGACUCCUACGGGAGGCAGCAGUGGGGAAUAUUGCACAAUGGGCGCAAGCCUGAUGCAGCCAUGCCGCGUGUGUGAAGAAGGCCUUAGGGUUGUAAAGCACUUUCAGCGGGGAGGCGUUACCCGCAGAAGAAGCACCGGCUAACUCCGUGCCAGCAGCCGCGGUAAUAC
rnacentral:rRNA from 1 species